rnacentral:rRNA from 1 species
GAUGAACGCUGGCGGCGUGCCUAAUACAUGCAAGUCGAGCGAACGGACGAGAAGCUUGCUUCUCUGAUGUUAGCGGCGGACGGGUGAGUAACACGUGGAUAACCUACCUAUAAGACUGGGAUAACUUCGGGAAACCGGAGCUAAUACCGGAUAAUAUUUUGAACCGCAUGAUUCAAAAGUGAAAGACGGUCUUGCUGUCACUUAUAGAUGGAUCCGCGCUGCAUUAGCUAGUUGGUAAGGUAACGGCUUACCAAGGCAACGAUGCAUAGCCGACCUGAGAGGGUGAUCGGCCACACUGGAACUGAGACACGGUCCAGACUCCUACGGGAGGCAGCAGUAGGGAAUCUUCCGCAGUGGGCGAAAGCCUGACGGAGCAACGCCGCGUGAGUGAUGAAGGUCUUCGGAUCGUAAAACUCUGUUAUUAGGGAAGAACAUAUGUGUAAGUAACUGUGCACAUCUUGACGGUACCUAAUCAGAAAGCCACGGCUAACUACGU